rnacentral:rRNA from 1 species
AGCAGCCGCGGUAAUUCCAGCUCCAAUAGCGUAUAUUAAAGUUGUUGCAGUUAAAAAGCUCGUAGUUGAAUUUCGGGAUCAAUACGUCGGUCGUGCUUCGGUACGUACUGGCGUCAUUGAUUUCUCCCUUCUGACGAACCAUGAUGUCAUUAACUUGGUGUCAUGGGAAAUCAGGACUGUUACUUUGAAAAAAUUAGAGUGUUUAAAGCAAGCUAACGCUUGAAUACAUUAGCAUGGAAUAAUGAAAUAGGACGUUCGAUCCUAUUUUGUUGGUUUCUAGGAUUGACGUAAUGAUUAAUAGGGAUAGUUGGGGGCAUUAGUAUUCAAUUGUCAGAGGUGAAAUUCUUGGAUUUAUUGAAGACUAACUACUGCGAAAGCAUUUGCCAAGGAUGUUUUCAUUAAUCAAGAACGAAAGUUAGGGGAUCGAAGGCGAUCAGAUACCGUCGUAGUCUUAACCAUAAACUAUGCCGACUAGGGAUCGGAUGAUGUUAAUUUUUUAAUGACUCA